rnacentral:rRNA from 1 species
AUACCAGACUCCUACGGGAGGCAGCAGUGAGGAAUAUUGGUCAAUGGGCGGGAGCCUGAACCAGCCAAGUCGCGUGAGGGAAGACGGUCCUACGGAUUGUAAACCUCUUUUGCCGGGGAGCAACGGGGUCCUUGCGAGGGCCCGAUGAGAGUACCCGGAGAAAAAGCAUCGGCUAACUCCGUGCCAGCAGCCGCGGUAAUACGGAGGAUGCGAGCGUUAUCCGGAUUUAUUGGGUUUAAAGGGUGCGUAGGCGGAAUCCCAAUUCAGCGGUAAAACCGCGGGGCUCAACCCCGCUCCGCCGUUGAAACUGGCGUUCUUGAGUGGGCGAGAAGAAGGCGGAAUGCGUGGUGUAGCGGUGAAAUGCAUAGAUAUCACGCAGAACCCCGAUUGCGAAGGCAGCCUUCCGGCGCCCUACUGACGCUGAGGCACGAAAGUGCGGGGAUCGAACAGGAUUAGAUACCCCCGUAC